rnacentral:rRNA from 1 species
UACGUAGGGGGCAAGCGUUGUCCGGAUUUAUUGGGCGUAAAGAGCGUGUCGGCGGCUAUACAGGUCCGCUGUGAAAACUCGAGGCUCAACCUCGAGACGUCGGUGGAAACCGUAUGGCUAGAGUCCGGAAGAGGAGAGUGGAAUUCCUGGUGUAGCGGUGAAAUGCGCAGAUAUCAGGAAGAACACCCGUGGCGAAGGCGGCUCUCUGGGACGGUACUGACGCUGAGACGCGAAAGCGUGGGGAGCAAACAGG